rnacentral:rRNA from 1 species
AUUGAACGCUGGCGGCAGGCCUAACACAUGCAAGUCGAGCGAGCGGCGGACGGGUGAGUAAUGUAUGGGGACUGCCCGAUAGAGGGGGAUAACUACUGGAAACGGUAGCUAAUAUCGCAUACUACCAGAUAACCCAUAUGGGGUUAGCUAGUAGGUGAGGUAAUGGCUCACCUAGGCGACGAUCCCUAGCUGGUCUGAGAGGAUGAUCAGCGACGAUGGGACUGAGACACGGCCCAGACUCCUACGGAGGCAGAAGUGGGGAAUAUUGCACAAUGGGCGCAAGCCUGAGGCAGCCAUGCCGCGUGUAUGAAGAAGGCCCUAGGGUUGUAAAGUACUUUCAGUAGGGAGGCGUUACCGACAGAAGAAGCCCCGGCUAACUCCGUGCCAGCAGCCGCGGUAAUAC